rnacentral:rRNA from 1 species
UACGUAGGAUCCGAGCGUUAUCCGGAGUGACUGGGCGUAAAGAGUUGCGUAGGUGGUCGUAUAAGUGAAUAGUGAAAGCUGGUGGCUUAACCAUACAGUCUAUUAUUCAAACUGUACGACUCGAGAAUGGUAGAGGUAACUGGAAUUUCUAGUGUAGGAGUGAAAUCCGUAGAUAUUAGAAAGAACACCAAUGGCGUAGGCAGGUUACUGGACCAUUUCUGACACUAAGGCACGAAAGCGUGGGGAGCGAACCGG